CUUUCGGGAUCAGGCGGAGUGGCGGACGGGUGCGUAACACGUGAGCGAUCUGCCCAGAUGGGGGGGAUACCCCGGGGAAACCCGGGUCAAUCCCGCAUGGGGUUUUACCUCUUCAUGGAGGUUCAAUCAAAGAUCCUGCAAGGGAUUCUGUCUGGAGGAGCUCGCGGCGUAUCAGCUAGUUGGUAGGGUAACGGCCUACCAAGGCGACGACGCGUAGGGGGUCUGAGAGGAUGGCCCCCCACAUGGGGACUGAGAUACGGCCCCGACUCCUACGGGAGGCAGCAGUGGGGAAUCUUGCGCAAUGGGCGAAAGCCUGACGCAGCGACGCCGCGUGCGGGAGGACGCUUUUCGGAGUGUAAACCGCUGUCGGGAGGGACGAAUGCUGUGGGGAGGAAAUGCUCCACAGGUGACGGUACCUUCAAAGGAAGCACCGGCUAACUCUGUGCCAGCAGCCGCGGUAAUACAGAGGGUGCAAGCGUUGUUCGGAAUCAUUGGGCGUAAAGCGCACGUAGGCGGCCUGUUAAGUCCGACUGUGAAAGACCGGGGCUCAACCCCGGGGCUGCAGCGGAUACUGGCAGGCUUGAGACACGUAGAGGCUGGCGGAAUUCCGGGUGUAGCGGUGGAAUGCGUAGAGAUCCGGAAGAACACCGGUGGCGAAGGCGGCCAGCUGGGCGUGGUCUGACGCUGAGGUGCGAAGGCGUGGGGAGCGAACA
rnacentral:rRNA from 1 species